CACGAAACUAAACACAUAGCAAACAAAGCGCUUGCGUAUGACGAAUGUCAACAUAUCAGUUUUUCUCUUUAUAGAAAGUGUUUGAGAUGAUGAAUUAAAAGCAAGUUAAUAAGGUUAUUAAAGGACUGACGCCCCAGCAAAAACAAA